UACGUAGGGCGCGAGCGUUAUCCGGAAUUAUUGGGCGUAAAGAGCUCGUAGGCGGUUUGUCACGUCUGCUGUGAAAACUGGAGGCUCAACCUCCAGCCUGCAGUGGGUACGGGCAGACUAGAGUGCGGUAGGGGAGAUUGGAAUUCCUGGUGUAGCGGUGGAAUGCGCAGAUAUCAGGAGGAACACCGAUGGCGAAGGCAGAUCUCUGGGCCGUAACUGACGCUGAGGAGCGAAAGCAUGGGGAGUGAACAGG
rnacentral:rRNA from 1 species